rnacentral:pre_miRNA from 13 species
GAUGCGGCAGCAUCAAGAUUCACAAACUUUAAGGCUUGAGUUGGGGUGGUACACGGUCACCUCCUUUACUCGAAAGGUUCCUUAAUUUCUGAUGGGAAUCUUGAUGAUGCUGCAUCGGC